CUUCCUGACCAGAGAUGUAAGAUGACUGCAUGAGCAGCUCCUUAUAAGAGAAGGCUUGACUUCCCAGUAGAAAACAAGGAACUCUGUGGGCAUGCUCCAAGGGAAAGUGGUGAGAGCCACAAUCAGCAUUUUUGAUCUUUGCAAAUUUGCCUAAGUGGACAUUGAAAGAAGAAACCUUUGUUCCAGCAACAAGUGUUAAGUUCCCUGGGGACCGCACAGCUCUGUCUGUUUCAAGACCCAACCCAGCUAUCCAGAAGCUUCACCCUGGGACUGUACCUUAGCACCCAACUCAGGACCACUUUAUCUCACCUCGAAAGACAAAUCUUAGGACUUAAUACUUAGUCCCAUCUACCCCAAGAUCGACCUGAGCUUACAGCAGUGAAUUUCAGGCUCCAGGACACACCAAGAACGCACACUGUAAUAUUUUUGGGCUGCCUGCAGAACUGAGCAGAGGUUUCUGUGGGCUUGAGAUUGGAAGUCUUAGGUCCAAGAGUUGGUUCCAGUUCUCCUCAGUUUGUAGGUAGCUGAUUCCUCUUGGUGUUCUGUGCUUUCUCCCUGCACCCUUUAAGUGUCCGUGGCUCUAGGGUUCCCUUCAUAGGACCCCAAAGACAUUACAACAGAGCCGACCUUUCAGGCUUCCUUGAAUCAAUCACCUUGAAGGCACUGUCUUUAAGUGUCACCUGCUGAGUGUCAGGGACUUCAUCCUUCACCAUAUGAAUUGGGGUAUCUUGUCCAAGCUAAGGCACUCAAGAGAGAAUCGUAGGGUCAGGGCAAACCUGACAGAAAUUUCUCACAGAGCCCCAUUCUAACUGGACCAGACUUUGUAAAUGUGUCCCAUGUCUUUUUGGCACUGCUAUCCAGCAUUGUUCUCAUGAUAUGACUUUGUCAUUUACGGGGAGAAACUGCACAACAGGCAUCCCAUGAAAAAGGAAGAACAAGACAGGCAACUUGUAGAUGGAAUCCUAUUAUAAAUGGCAGAGACCCUAAGGAAUCUGCUAAAGUUUAGCAUUGAACAGUGAGUUAUACCAGACCAAUGAAUAUGAGUUCUGUCAGCAGAAAUAAAGCAUUUCUAUAUCUUAGCAGUAAACAAAACAAUAGUUGGGAAAAUUUCUAUGUCAUACACCAUCUUUAAUAAAAAUCAAAAAUAUUUUCAAAUUACUUUGAGCAAGCACAUACUAAACUUUUAACUAUAGCUUCUAUUAUUGUUUGAAAUCUAGGAAGUAAGUAAAUUUCAUCAAAACAUUACAGAGAUUUUCAUACUCAGAAUACAUUUAGAAAUUAACAGUGUAUAACUCGUAGGUUUUCAUUACUCAGUAUAUAACUCAGAGGUUUUCAAACUCAUAUUGUGGAUUCUCUUUACCAAUCAGAGUUUAGAAGUGCAGAUAAUGCUGUCUCCAGGUGGUCACCCAUACUCUGUGAGAAGAUUUAGAGAGUUAAUUCCCUAACAGGAGGGUCCGCAUCCCAAUCUGGAGAUAGAAUUCCCUUCAAGAGGGUCUAAAUCACCUGCACGUAUGAGCCCCCUCAAAGGAAGGACUGAAUCUCCUGCAGGUGAGAAUGACAAGAAUGAGAGGGUCCAUAGGAGGAGGGACUUAAUUUCUUCUCUGAUGAGACUGGAGCACCAGCAAGAAUUUGACUCUGUAGUCUGAGAGAUUAUUUUCAGUAUGAUGUUCUGAGUUCCCUGAAUCCACAGCUGGAACACUGAGCCACCAUCAGGAACACUGCACCUGGACCAGUUGUCUUAAGGGCAUUAAAUACGAAUUUCACUUCUUUGGCUUAUAAAACCCCACCAUGCUCUAGCUUCCUUCCAACAUCCACCCUUCAUUCCCCACCAUCUCAGCUUCUCAAUGAAUCCUUCCGCUCCUUGAUUUUCCAAGCCUACCUAUGUCUUAUGAUCACCUACACACACACACACACACACACACACACACACACACACACACACACACACACACACACACCUGGCUUCGAAGGGAUCAGAUUAUGUUUUUUAAGGCUGAACUGUUUCUAUGGUUUUCUCUGUAAACCCUGCUUCCCAGCUACUUUCUCUGGCAAUUAACUGACCAAAGGUUAAAGAGUCCAGAGUGUAAAGCUUGCACCCCUGGUAGUCCUCAGGUCUGGUGCUGAUGGGCUCAGAGCCAUGGGGUGUGUGAGUAGCCGGCCAGGCCUUGCUGAGGCUGACUUGUCUUGUCUCUGCAGUAUGUGCCCACAAAACCGGAAGAGGGUAAGAUAUUCUAGAUGUUGAGUUGCAGAUGGCUGUGAGCUGACUUAGAGUUGUUGGAAAACAAGCGAAGGUCCUCUGCAAAGGCAACUAGUGCUCUCAAACCCUGAGCGAUCUCUCUAGUUCUUGCUCUGAAGGUUUUCUGAUGUCCUGUUGAUUACUGUCUGCUCCACCAGCCUGUUCCACAGGAAUCAGUCUUAUGAUUGUGUAGCAUCACAACACCAAAAAUAGUUUAAUCUCUUACUGGAUGCCCUUAAUGAUUUUUACAAAUGAUAAAAAUUGACUAUAUUUGUUUUUGAAUAUUGACAGUGCCUCUGGAACUAAACUCAAUCAGCUAGUUCCUUUCACUUCUAUCCAUCUCACAAACUCACUCAGUAUAUUAUUUUCUGUCCUCAGUGUACCAUGUAUUGCUGUAAGCACCAGCAUUGUUAAGGCAAGCAAAAAGAGAUUUAUAAAACCUUCAGAAUUUGAAAUUUACAUUCACUCAUAGCUUGUACUACACAUCAUUAAUUCCACCUUUCAGGAGAGAGAAGGUCUCUUUACUGUCCAAACCUCCCUUGUCUACAGGGUGAGUUUUAGGACAGCUUCAGUUUGUGGUGACACUCUGUCUCAAAUUAACCGAACAACAACAACCCAACCACACUCACACACAAACACGUGCAUGGAACACACACACACACACACACACACACACACACACACUGAGAGAGAGAGAGAGAGAGAGAGAGAGAGAGAGAGAGAGAGAGAGAGAGAGAGAGAGAGGGAGAGCACUGUCCAGUUGCUACCCUUCUCAUUCCUAAAGUGACCUUUCAGUGUAAUUGUAUUUUAACCUCAACUUCCUCAGUCCUUCCAGUGUGGAGGCUUCUGUUAAACCUGCAACAAUUGGCAACUGACAGCAGACCAGUUUCUGCUUGCUGGUGGGGAAAUUUGGUGGUGUUGUUUUGUUAUUCUGUACUCCCUUAGCCGACCUCCCUAAGCCCUGAGAAGAUUCCAUUCGCUUCCUUCAGACGACUUUAGUGUUUUUAAGUCAUACUCCACAAAGUAAGAAACCAUUUGUUCUGACUGCAGCAUUUAGGAUCAUGUUGAAUAGGUACCAGCAGAAUGUACGCUGUUUAAGAAGUAGAUCUGUGGGUUAGGAUUAGCUGUAAUUUUAUCUGCUGAGUGAGUGAGUGUUUGCUUCAUGUCCUUGCCCCUUUUGCCUUCUGUGGUACUUUUAUUCCUAUAGACUAAAGGGUUUUAGUUUGUGUUGGCUCCUUCUGCGAUUUCAGUGUCCAAUACCUCUAGACCUAUACUGUAAGUGUGACCAGAUUAACAGGGCUGUUGAUUUUCCAUGGAGAUGCUUGUUUACAUUUUUACUUAAUCCACAUCUUAUGUGCAAGAGGAGGGAGAGCAGCUUGCUGGCUCUGCAUCAGCACACAGUGACCCAGAGUGAAGGUUCUCUCUGUUACUCAUUCGAAUUCCUGAAUCACCAUGACAUUUUGCAUGAGCUAUCCUCCACUGUCUCGGGCAUUUGAGUACUCCUUUCCCAGUUGGUGACUCUGUUUGGGAAGAUCCAGGAGGUAUGCCCUUGCUGGAGAAAGAAUGUCAGCGGGGCUGGGCUUUGAGGUUUUAGUGCUCUGCACCACUCCCUGUGCACUCUCUGCUUUGUACUUGUGAUUCUAGAUGUCAUACCUCAGCCUCCUCCUCCUUCCGCCAUGCCCUGUAGUCAUGGAACUUAACCUCUGCUAACACAUGUUCUCUGAAAUAGAAUCACUAAUGUCCUACUUGUUUUAUAGUUUGCUGUGCUCAUGGCAUUUCUGUCACAGAAAUACAAAGGUAACAAAUGCAGAAGGUGACAUAAUGGAGUGGACUCUUGCUGUGUGGCACCUCAUGAUGCCAGGUUGUUUCUUGUUUUGGGAAAUAUGUAAGAAUUCCAGUGCUCUAAGAAGAGUUUAAUGGGCUAUACUGGCAGGCACUUGGGAGUCAGGAGUGCCAAGAGGUAUUCAGACUGUGGAAGCCCAGGAGAAGGGGAUUCAGGAGGAAAAAAUGUUUGUAACUGGUCUAGGAUAAUUCCUACAAAGCUUUUACAAAAAUGUGGCUUCCUUUCUGCCCACAUCCUAAAAACUUAUCUGAGGCUAAAUUUAAAAGUAAUAAACAAAUUUCUUUGAUGAAAAUUUGAAGAGGGCCCAGUAUGGCCUCGGUCUUACUGUGGUUAUAAGUCUUCAAUGAAAAAGAACAAAUGGGGCAAAAAGAAAUACAAAAUGUAGAGUUGGGAAAGAAAAAGACACUGGGAAGAUUAAUAUUAUAGCCAAUGCCUAUACCAGAAGAGAGCCUGAAAUUGCUUGGAGAUUAGCACCUUAAUAAGAGGCCAUGUCUCCUCAGGUGAAGACAUCACUCAACUAACUUAGUAAUCUGUGGUAGAAAGUGACUUACUUAGAGUUUUCCUGCUAUUAACAGACACCAUGACCAAAGCAACUCUUAUAAGAAGAACAUUUAUUUGGGUUUGCCUUCAAGUUCAGCAGUUUGGUUCAUUAUCAUCAAGGUAGGGGCAUGGUAGCAUCUAGGCAGACAUGUUGCAGGAGGAGCUGGGAGUUCUACAUCAUCAUCUGAAGGUUGCUACUAGAAAACUGAUUUUCAUGCAGCUAGGACAAGGAACAUAAGGGUCACAUCUACAGUGACACACUUCUUCCAUCAAGGCUACACCUAUCCAAUGAGGGCACAUCUUUAAAUAGCCCCACUCCCUGGGCUGAGCAUAUUUAAAUCACCACAUGAACAUUAGGUAUUUUCAGUUCCUGGUAUAACUUUUGAUCAGAAGCUGCUGCUACUGUGGUUCAUGGGGCCCAGGUCUUUGUAGAAAUCAAGCAUCUUCUCAUGUACUCUCAUCAGUCACUGGAAGUAAGGAAGCUCAAGAAAGGACUGCUGUGUGGACUGAGACAGCUGAGCAAGUCUGCUUUGGGAAGGACCUCCUCUGUCACAGGACAUCCACUGUUUAAGCACCACCACUACCUCAGGAAGUCCACUGUCUGUGUGUCAACUCCACUGUUACAGGACUUCAAGUUUCUCAGCAUCUCAACUAUCACAGGAUUUCUACUGUGCAGGAGCUCAAGUGUCUUACAACGUCCAAUGUCAUAGGACCAUCAAUGUCACAAGAACUCCUCUGUCCAAGGAACUGCACAGUCCAAACAACACUAUGAUUGCAGGACAUUCACUGUGGAAACACCUCCACUAUGGCAGGGCCUCCACUGUCCAUACAUCAACUCCACUGUCGCAGAUCCCCCAUUGCUGCAGACCUCCACUGUCACAGGACCUCCACUGUAGGAGCACUACAACUGUCGCAGGAUCUCCAGUGUCUUAUAACCUGCUCUAUCCCAGGACUUCCACUGUUGUAGCAUUACCAUGGUCACAGCAACUACACUGUUUCAGGACAUCAAGUGAAGCUGGACCUCCAAUGAUGCUCCAACUUCUCUGUCACAGGAUCUCUACAGUUACAGGAAUACUCCUGUAUCAGCAAUUCCAAUUGCUGGACCUCAGUUGUCACAUGACCUCCACUGUAGCCGAACCUUCAAUUUUGCAGCACCUCCACUAGAGGUAGAAUGACCUCCCCUAUCACAGUGCCUCCACUUUCAAAGGACCUUCACUGUCACAGAACCUGCACAAUUUCAGUGCCUCCGCUGUUGCAGGACCUACCUUUUCACAGGAUCUGCACUGUUGCAACAACUCUAAUUGCACGUUUACAAAGGCAUUACUGGUUAUUAGAUUUGAGGCUGAAUGGAAUGUGAUGUUACUUUCGUAAACAUAAGAAUGUGUUCUGUGCGUCUUGUGAUUAAUGGCCACUUGUGCUAGGACCAGUAACUUAUGGAAAGAUUCCUUGAGGUCAUAGCACUCUCCACCUCACCUUGUGGAAACUGGUGUUUUUAGAGUGUGAUAAACUUCAGGUGAAGGGAUGCAGUCAGCAAGACCACGCUCUAGAGUGGGAUACACAGCAGUCAUAUUGAGUCCUUGCUGGGAAGAAAAGAAAUCCAGAAGAGGGAGGAGGCUUGGGUUAGAGGAAGAAUCAUAAAAUAUUUAGAGAAUAUAAGAAGGUAAGAAUUAUGGGGAACUGGAAAACAGAGCCAGAGGAAGAAUGAGCACAGAGCAAACUGGGAUGGACAAAGCACAAAUGUACCUGGGUUGUGCCUUCUGCAUGUUUUCUGGACGAUCGCCUUGUGCCUCAUUUCUGGGAGAACACUCUCUUCUCCCCAUAUAAAGUUUCUUUCUUGAAAGAAAGCAGCAACACAACUUCAUCAGUGAAUUUCCCCAUUGAAAUUUGUUCGUUCUUUCAAAGCCUCUGGGAAGGCCCUAGCUGGGGAAAGUCCUCUCAGCUGAGAAACAGCAGGAAAGUAGGUUGUCCUCUGUGUUCUCAUUGCGACUGCUCUUCUAAGUGUGGUUGAUUGUUGAUUGAAGACACAGGGCACUUCUAGCAUGUAUGUAUGCUUUAUUCAGUGUGGGUGGCAUUGGGAGUAUCCUGAAAAGAAGGGUAGGCGCCUCUGCCUCUUUGACUAGGUGUAUGAUCAAAGUCAGACACUCGACCAUUGGAAGAUGAGACCAAUGUGUCUACGGUGUACUCACUUCUAUUCCUCUUUAGUCCUAGAGGGAAAUAAGUGCCGUCAGCAAGGGUGGGGAAUGGGGCCCUAACUGGACAAACUUGCUGAGCCUGGGUUAUGCAGCCAUGCCGGUGAAUAGCUUCCCCUUACAUUAAGUAGUAAGAUGCCAUGCUCUGGUUGUACCUUCCCUGAUACAGUGAAUCUAUAAUCUCUUGGCCUCAAAACCCAAUAUAUUACAUUGCUUUCACAAGUGGAGUAUCUGGCAUGAGAGGGAUCAUUUCCUCAUAGGGAUUUGGGAACCACUUACAGUCUUCAUUGAGCAUGGGUGUGUCAUCACCUAAGUGACUGUUAGCCCAUAUCUGUGAUUCACUGUCAUUAGGAGGCUAAGCUGCCUCUUCUGACAUCCCACAGUGGGCUGGAUACAUACCACUCACAACCUGUCUCCUCAGCUCUUGUAUGACAAAAUGUAACCCUACUCCUAAGUCCAUAUGUUGGGGGGGGGUUGUUUUUUUUUUUUUUGUUUUGUUUUGUUUUGUUUUUGGAACAUCCUAACGUUUUCCUAGGAAGAGAUCAGGUGCACCAUUAGGAUAAGCACCAUGCUGCCAGUUCAGCAUUUGCCCAAGUUUGACUUGCCUUGAAGGCCAAAGUUGAUGAUUUUGACUUUUCCAUUCUUCUCUAACAGAAUAUAAUCUGGUUUCAGGUCACUGUGUACUUUUACAGUGUCCAUAGCCGUAGAUUAAGUCUGCUAAUAUUUACCCAAAUAUUUCCUUGACCCUGUACUCCUCUAAGGGGAAAGACUUUCAAAUGUAUUUGUAAAGCUGUAAAAUUUCAACCAGUUUCAUGAUAAGUUAUUAGACUUGUCUCAGACUCAAUUGGAGAAGCAAGAUGAUGUUGGGGUUGAUGAAAAUCUUCAUUAUAUUUGCCAUGGUCAUGUUUGGCUGGCACCAUUGCUUCUUCUUUGCAUGCACUUUGAUAACCCCUGUAGCAGAACUUCCACUGUCCCAGCACCUGCACUAUCUCAAGAUCUCCACUCUCACCGGACCAAUAUUGCAGUAGGACGUCUGCGGUCAGGCAACUCCACUGUCUCAGACCCUCCAAAUUGCAAGACCUUUACGGGCACUGGAAGUUACUGUCCCUAAACUUCCACUGUUGGAAUACCUCAGCUAUAACAAGGACCCCUACCAUUGCAGAACCCCCUUGUCAUAGCACCUCUACAAUUACAAAGAAGUCCACUGUCAAAGGACCUCCAAUGUCUCAGCCCCUCCACUGUUGCAGGAUCUCUACUGUCUCAGGAUCACUACUGUUGCAGGACCUCCCCUCUCUCAGCAGCUCCAAUUUGCAGGAGCUCUCCUAUCAGAGGACAUUUACAUUUUCUGUACUUCCAGUGUCACAGCACCUCAACUGUUAAAAGAAUUUCCAUACUCACAGGCCUGCCAAUGUCUCAGUAACUCCACUGUCCUAGGACCUUUAUGUUAUAGGACCUCUGCUGACACAAGAUGUCCACUGUUGCUAGACUUCCACUGUCAUAACCACUCAACCAUUACAAGGACCGCAAUUUUGGCAUGACCGCCACUGUCCCAUCCCCUCCAGUGUUAUAGGACCUCCACUCUCACAGGAUAAUCCACUGUCUCAGCAAGGCCAAUUUGCAGGACCUCUACUAGGACAGGAUAUCCACUGUAGCUGGACGUACACUGUUGCAGUACCUCAACUGUUGCAGGACCUCCAAUGUUGCAGGACAUGGACCCUCUCAGCUUCUAGAAUUUGCAGGACCUUUACUGGCACAGAAAUUCCACUGUUGCUGGAGCUCCACUGUCAUUUAAAAUGCGUUGUCUCAUGAUAUUCACUGUUGCUGGACCAAUAGUGUAGCAGCACCUCCAUUUUUUCAAAACCCCUCCACUGAUACAGGAUCUCCACUUUUGUAGCAGCUUCACUGUCCAAGCAAACCAACUAUUUCAGGAUCUCCCGUGUCUUAGGGCAUUCACUAAUGCCAGUCCUCCAACGUUGUAGGAUAUUAUCCACUUUCUCAACAGCUACACUUUGGCAGGACCUCUAUUGGCAGAGAAAGUCCACUGUUGCUGGACCUCCACUGUCAGUGCAAAUGCACUCAUUCAGGACCUCUACUUUUCUAAGGACCUCCAAUAUUGCAGGGCCUCAAAUGUCCCAGGACCUCAAGUGAUGCAGCACCUCCUUUUUCCUAUCACCUUUACUGUCCCAGAACCUCCACUUUCCCAGGAACUGUUCUGUUGCAGGGCCUCCAAAGUUAGAAGAACUGCACUGUAUCAAGACCUCAACUGUUGCAGGACCUCCAUCAUUAUAGGAACACAAUAGUUACACUGUCCAUCACCUUCACUCUCUUAGCACCUCCACUCUCACAGGACCUACACUGUUGCAGGAACUCCAAUGUCUAUGCAACUGCACUCUCUCAGGACCUCAAUGAUCCAGAACCUCCAAUGAUGCAGGACCUCCACUGUCAUGGACCUCCACUGUUUCAGGACAUCCACUCUAUCACCACCUAGACUUUUGCAGGACCUCUACUGGCCCAGGAUCUCCAUUGUUGCUGGUCUUACAUUGUCUAAAGACCUCUACUAUCGCAGAAAUGCCACUGUUGUAGAACCUUCACUGUCGCAGGGCCUCCACUGUCCAAGAACUCCACUGUUGCAGGGCAUCCACUCUUGCAGCAUGUGCCUUGUCUCAGGACCUCCACUACAGCAGUCAAAUCUCCACUGUAUCAUGACUUCCACUCGUGCAGGUCUUCCAAUGUUACAUGACCUCCAAUGUGAAAGUAACUCCACUAUCUCAGUGCCUCCACUGUUACAGGACCUACACUGUCAGAGGAUCUGCACUACGGCACCAGCUCCACUGUCACAUUUUUGAAAGCAUUGCUUGUUGUUAGUGUUGAGGCUUCAUGGAGUGUGAUGCUACGUCUGAAAAGUUAAGAAUUUCUUCUUCAGCUCCUACGAUUAAUGUCCAGAUGUGCUAGAUCAGUAGCGCCUGGAAGACUCAAUGAGCCGAUAGCCUUCGAAGCCUCACUUUGUGGUGUUCUGUUGUCUUUUGGGAAUGCUAAAGUCCAGGUGAAGGCAUGCGGUCAGAAGGAUAACUCUAGUGUGGGGUACACAUGAGUUGUGUUGAGUUCCUGCUAGGAAGGGUAGAAAUCCAGAACUGAAAGAAGGCUUAUGGUGGAGCAAGAAUCAUACAAUGCUUAGAAUAGGUAAAACAGAAACAAUUUUGCAGAAAUGGAAACCAGAGACACAGGAGGAACCAGCACAGAUCAAACUGCGUAGGACCAAUCACAAAGGUACCUGCGCUGAGCCUGCCUGCUGCUUGUUCUUUGGAUGUACUCUAGCCUUUAUUUCUCAGGAGAGACACUGUGCUGUCCAAGGAGAGUUUUCUUGCUUGAUUGAGCACAGGAAUACUGCUUGAUUUGGAUAUUCCUAAUUUCUUGGUCCACCCUGUAAAGCAUCUGAGCAUGCUCCUGCUUAGGACAGUCUUGCCCUCUCCUGAAGCCCAGAGGGAUAAUAGGUUGUCUUCUGUGGUUUCAUUGCUGCUUUCGUUCUCCCUGAGGCUGCUUGUUGACUGAAGGCAGAAGACACCCUGGCAUGUAUGUUUUGUCCAGUGUGGUGUCACCUGGAAUGGCCUGAAGAAAAGGCCAGUCCCAGUGAUUCUUCUGAAUCUUCUAUGACUAGAGUUAUGGACAUAGGCAUAAACGAGGCCAUGGGGAAUGACAAGUUCAAUGUGCCAAUGGUGGGUUGGUUUCCACUCCUCUGAAGUCCAGGAUGGAAAGCAGCAUAAUCUUUAAGGGUAGGGAAUGGAGCCCUAACUGGACUCAGUGAGGGAGCCUGGUUGUGAAGCCAGGCGCCUGGAUAGCCUGCCCUUUCAGUAAUCCAUUGAACACCAUUGUCCGUUAAUAGUUUUUUUAUUUAAAGAAUCUUUAUUUCUUGGGUUUAGAACUGAAUAUAUUGCAUUACUUCCACAGUUGUAGGGUGUGGCCUGAGAUACCAUUUCCUCAUAGGGAUUUGGGAAACCCUCCCAUUCUUUGAAGCGAGGUUGCAUUAUGAGGUUUGUGACUGUCAGCCUAUAUCUGGGGUUUACUGUGAUUAAGAGAUAAUGAUGAUGGUUGACCAUCAUAAACGUUGACAAAGAGGAGUUCAGGGGCAACAGAAGUGUAAGCACCACAGUGGUGCUUCAGAAUUUGCCCUGGUUCAACUCGGGUACUAAGGCGAAAUUCGAUGAUUUUGUUUUUUUCCAUUAAUAACCAAGAUAAAUGCUAUUUGGUUUCAGGUCCCUGUGAAAUAUUGUGUGCCCAGGGCAGUAGUUCAUCACUGCUAAUAUUUGCAAUAUAUUUUACUGACUUGUCCUGCUUUAGGUAGCCAUACUUUUGGAUGUAUUUGUAAAACUGUUGAGCUUCAACAAGCUCCAAGACAAGAUAUAAUAUUGUUUUGGUCUCAAUUAUUUGAAGAAACCACGUGAUGUUGGGGUUGUCACCCAUCAUCAUCACUGCCAUGGUCAUUACUGGCUGGCAUUAUUAUUUCUCCAUUACAAGGACUUUGACAGCCACUGUCACAGGACCUAAUCUGUGGUAGAACCUCCACUCUCAGGGCAACUCCACUUUCUCAGGACCUCUAAAUUGCAGGACCUCCCCUGGCAUAGAAUGUACAUUUUUGCAGGACUUUCACUCUUGUAGCAACUCAACUCUUAAAAGACAUCCACUUUAGCAAGAUUUCCAGUGUCUUAGCACUGCCCUUCUUGAAGGACCUCCACUAUUGUAGGACCUCCACUGUUGCAGCACAUCCAUUCUCUCAGCAUCUAGAAUUUUGCAGAAUGUCAACUGGCAUAGAAAGUCCACAGUUGCUGGUUCUUCAAUUUCAUGAUAAAUCCACCGUAUCAGGACCUUCACUGUUGCAGGACCUCCAGUGUUGAAUCACAUACACUGUUUCAGGGCCACCACUGUCACAGGACCUUCUCUGUCACAGGAUCGCCACUCUCUCAGCACUUAUGCAAUCACAGGACCUCCAUUGCUUUGGACCUCCACUCUCGGAGAACCUCCACUGGUCAAGCACAUCCACUGUCUCAGAAACUCCAGUGUCUCGGGACAUUCACUGUUGCAGGAUCUCCCAUGUCUUAGCACACUUAUUUUUGCAGGACCUCCACUCUCGCAGACUCAUCUCUACUGUCUCAGGACCUACACUAUAACUGUUGGACCUCUAAUGUCACAGGACCUCAAAUGACACUGGAUUUCCACUGUCCAAUCACAUUAACUGUCCCAACUCCUUCACUGUCGCAGGACCUACACUGUUGCAGGACCUCCAAUAUCGGACCAAUUUCCUGUCUCAGGGACCUCCAAUGUUGCAUGACCUCCACUGUUAAAAGAUAUCCACAGUUGCAGGAUAGCUAGUAGAGUUUUGCAGGACCUAUAUUGGCCCAGGACCUCCAUUGCUGAUGAUCCUCCACUGUCUCAGUACCUUAACUAACACAGAACCUCCACUGUUGAAGCACCUCCACUGUCCUAGGAUGUCCACUAUUGCAGACAACGUCAGUCUUAAGUACCUCCAUUUUUGAAGGACCUCCAUGGGUGCAGGACCUCCACUCUUAGAGUGCCUCCAUUGUUGUAGCACCUCCACUGUUCCAACCUCAUCUCCACUGUCUCGGGACCUACAUUAUUGCAGGAUCUCCAAUGUUGCUGGACUUCUACUGUUGCAGUACCUCCAGUGUUGCAGGACCUACACCGUAGCAGGAUCUGCACUGUUGCACCAAUUCUACUUUCACAUUUUGUUGACAUUGCUGGUUAUUAGAUUUGAGUCUUAAUGGAAUGGGAUAUUACUUUUGAAAACACAGGAAUUUUUUUCUGCAUCACAUGUGAUUGAUGACCACAUAUUCUAGGACUGAUAUCCCCUGGAAGAUUCCAUGAGCCCUUAGUCCACCAGUCUUCACCUGGUCGGAGGUGUUGUGUUUUGGGAGAAGUUGAAUCCAGGUUAAGGGAUGGGAUCAGCAGGACACAGUUCUGUAGAGUGGGCUACAUAUCAGUCAUAGUGAGUCCCCUCUGGGAUGAGUAGAAAUCCAGAACUGAGAAAAUGCUAUUACAGGACCUCCAUUGUCUAAACACCUCCACUAUUGCAGAACCUCCACUGUCCAUACAUCAACCAGCUCCACUGUUCCAGAGCCUGAGAUGUUGAAGAAUCUCCACUGUCACAGGACCUCCAUUGCUGCAGGACCUCCACUGUCACAGGACCUCCAAUGACUCAGCAACUACACUUUUGUAGGACCAGCAUUGGCACAGGAUAAGCACUGUUGGUAGGCCCUCCACUAGCCUAUAACCUCCACUGUCCCAGAAUUUCCACUGUUGUAGCACUACCAGGGUCAAAGCAACUACAGUGUUUCAGGACAUCAACUGAAGCAGGACCUCUAAUGAUGCUGCAGCUUCACUGUCACAGGAUCUCUACAUUUACAGGAAUACCACUGUGUCAGCAAUUACAAUUUUGCAGGACCUCAGUUGUCACAGGACCACCGCUGUAGCCAAACCUUCAAUGGUGCAGCAUCUCCACUGUAGGUAGAAUGACCUCCCCUAUCGCAGUGCCUCCACUUUCAAAGGACCUUCACUGUCACAGAACCUGCACUAUUUCAGUGCCUCCACUGUUACAGGACCUACCUCUUCACAGGAUCUGCACUGUUGCAGCAACUCUAAUUACACUUUUUCAAAGGCAUUACCAGUUAUUAGAUUUGAGGAUGAAUGGAAUGUAAUGUUACUUUUGAAAACAUAAGAAUUUGUCCUGUAUCACUUGUGAUUAAUGGCCACAUGUGCUAGGACCAGUAACCUAUGGAAGAUUCCCUGAUCUGAUAGCUCUGUAGCCCUCAUCUUGUUGAAGCUGUUGUCCUUAGAGGGUCAUACAGUUCAGGUGAAGGGAUUGGAUCAGCAAGACAACUCUGUGGAGUGGAGUACAAUUAAGUCGUAUUGAGUCCCAGCUGGGAAAAGGAGAAAUCCACAAGAUGGAGAAGGCUUGUGGUGGAGGAAGAACCGUAAAGUACUUAGAGAGUAUAAGAAGGUAAGAAUUGUGAGGAAAUGGAAAACAGAGCCAGAGGAAGAAUGACCACAGAGCAAAGUGGGAAGGGUAAAGCACAAAGGUACCUGGGUUGUGCCUUCUGCUUGUUCUCGGGAUGCUCUCCCUGUGCCUCAUUUAUGAGAGAACACAGUUCUGCCUUAUGUAAGGUUUCUUUCUUGAUGGAAAGGAGCAACACAACUUCGGGGAUUUUCUCAUCUUCUUGGUCCAUCCUUUAAGUCCUCUGGGAAGGCCCCAGCUGGGGAAAGGCCUGCUCUCAGCUGACAAACACCUGGAGAAUAGGUUGUCCUUUAUGUUCUAAUUGGUGCUGCUCUUGUAAGUGUGUCUGCUUGCUGAGUAAAUGCAGGGGAAACCUCUGUCCUGUAUGUAUGCUUUGUCCAGUGUGGCUGUCAUCGGAAGUGUCCUGGAGAGAAGGGCAGUCCAGUGACUCUUCUGCUUCCUUUUGACUAGCCUCAUUAUUAUAGGCAGACAUUAGACCCUUGGAAGAUGAGGAGACCAAUGUGUCUAUGGUGUUCUCACUUCUACUUCUCUUUAGUCCUAAAGGGAAAUCAGUGCCAUCACCAGGGGUAGGGAAUGUUUGCCAUAACUGGACAAACUUGCUGACCUUGGGAUCUGCAGCAAUGCCCAUAGAGAGCCUGCCCUUACAGUAUGCAAUGGGAUGCCACGGUCUGGUAAUAUUUUCUUUGAUGUAUCUAUAAUAUCUUAGGCUCAAAACCCAAAAUAUCCAAUUGCUUCCACAUUAGCAGUGUCUGGCAUGAGGGGGAUCAGUUCCUCCAAGGAUUUGGGAACCAAUUCCAGUCUUCAUUGACCAGGGGUACAUCACUACUUCUAUGACUAUCAGCCCAUAUCUGGGGUUGACUGCCAUUAAGAUGCUACACAGAUCUCCAGCUCUUCGGACACCCAACAGUGGGCAGGAUACGCACCGGCCACAACAUAUCUUCUCACCUUUUUAUAACAACUGAGUCAAAUCCUACAACAGUGAAUUAUAAGCCUACUCCUUAACUCAAAUAUUGUUCUUUGGACCAUUACAACAUUUGCCUAGGCUGUAAUGACAGGCAUCAAAAUUGUGAACACCGUAGUGCCAGCUCAUCAUUUGCUCAGGUUCAACUUUGGUAGGAAAGGCCAAAGUUGAUGAUUUUGACUUUUCCGUUCUUGUGUAACAAAAUAUCACUCGAUUUCAAGUCUCCGUGAACUACACUGUGCCCAUCCCAGUAUAUCGAGUCUGCUAAUAUUUGCCUAAAUAUUUCCCUGACCUUGUCUUCCUCGAGGUGGCAAGACUUCAGAUGAAUUUGUAAAGCUAUAGAAUUUCAACUAGCUCCAUGAGAAGGUAUAGAUGUGUCUCAGACUCAAUUACUUGGUGAAGCAAUAUGAUAUUGGGGUGGAUGUAUAUCUUCAUUAUAUUGGCCAUGCUCUUGUCUGACUGUCACCCUUGCUGCUUCUUUGCAUGCACUUUGAUAACCACAGUAGCAGGACUUUCACUGUCCCAGUCACUGCACUAUCCUAAGACCUCCCUUGUCACAGGACCUCCACUGUGGUAGUACCGCAGCUGUCAGGAAACUCCACAGUCUCAUUACCUCCAAACUGCAAGAUCUCUACUGGCACAGGAAUUGUACUGCCCCUGGACUUCCACUGUCACAGCACUUCAACUGUUACAAGGACCUCUACUGUUGUAAGACCUCCUAUAUCACAGCACCUCCACGGUGACAAGGACCUGCAUUGUCAAAAGACCUCCAGUGUCUCAGUCCCUCCACUGAUUCAGGACUUUCAAAUUGCAGGAACUCUACUAGCACAGGUCAUCCACAGUUGCAGUUCCUCAACUGUUAUAAGGACCUCCAUUGUUGCAGAACCUUCAGUGUCCCUGCACCUUCACAGUCUCAGCAACUCCAACUUGCAGGACCUCUACUAGCACAGGAUGUCCACAGUAGGUAUACUUACACUGUUGCAUUACCUCAAUUGUUGCAGGACCUCCGAUGUGGUAGGACAUCCACAUUUUCAGCAGCUAGACUUUUGCAGGACCUCUACUGGCCCAAAAAAAUUCCUCUGUUCUGGACCUCCACUGACAGUGCAAAUGCACUGUCUCAGGACCUCCACUGUUGCAAGACCUCCGAUGUUGAAGGAUGUCCAUUGUUUUAGGACAUUCCCUGUCAAAGAACCUCAACUGACACACAACCUCUGCUUUUGUAGGAUUUUCACUGUCCUAGAAAACCAAGUAUUGCAGGAAUUAUCAACUUGGAGCAACUGCAUUGUAUUAGGACAUUUACUGUUGCAGGACCUGCAGUGUGGUUCCACCUCCAUUUUAGCCAGGUCUCAACUGUACCUGGCUCAUCUCUGCUGAAUCAGCUCCUCCAACACUGCAGAACAUCCAAUAUUUCAGGUCCUCAAACAUCCCAGGACCCCAAUUGAUGGAGGACUUCCAACGUUGCAGGACCACAAUAGUCACAGGUCCUCCACUGUCCCAUUACUUUUAUUUCUCCCAGCACCUCCACUGUCACAUGGCCUACAAUGUUGCCUAACCUCCAAUGCCUGAGCAACUACACUGUCUCAGGACCUCGAUUGUUCCAGAACCUCCAAUGGUGCAGGACCUCCACUGUCACCAGAUCUCCACUGUCUCAGAGCAUCCACUCUAACACCGACUAGACUUUUGUAGAACCUCUCCUGGCAAAGCAUCUCCAUUGUGGCCGGCCUUACAUUGUCUCCAAACCUCCACUAUCACAGGAAUGCCACUGUUGUAGAACCUCCACCGUCACAGACCUCCACUGUUGGAGGACCUCCCCUGUCUAAACACAUCCACUAUUGCAGGACCUCCACUGUCCAAGGAAUUCCGCUGUUCCAGGACAUCCACUCUUGCAGCACCUGCAUUGUCUCUGGACUUCCACUGUGUCAGUCCCAUCUCCAAUGUCUCAGGACCUCCACUCUUACAGGACCUCCAAUGUUCACAACCUCAAAUACAAAACUGCACUAUCCCAGUGCCUCCACAGUUGCAGGCCCCAAACUGUUUCAGGAUCUGCACUGUUUCAUUAAUUCCCCUGUCCCUUUUUUGAAAGCAUUGCUGGUUAUUAGUUUUGAGGCUUAAUGGAAUGUGAUGGUAUUUUUGAAAAAAUAACAAUUUUUCCUGCACAUCUUGUGAUUAAUUACCAGAUGUGCUAGCAUCAGUUGCCCCUAGAGGGUUGCACGAGCCCACAGCCCUGUAGACCUCACCUUGUGGCAGCUGUUUUGUUUCGGGGGUGUUACAGUCCAGAAGGCAUGCGGUCAGGAGGACAACUCUGUAGUCCGGGGUACACAUCAGUCACAUUGAGUCCUUGCUGGGAAAAGGAGAAAUCCAGAAGAGGGAGAAGGCGUGGGGAGGAGGAAGAAACAGACAGUACUUACAGAAGUUAAAUGGAAACUAUUUGCAGAAAUGGAAACCAGAGACACAGGAGGAAUCAGCACAGAGCAAACUGGGCAGGACAAGGCACAAAGGUACCUGGGCUGUGCCUGCCUGCUGCUUGUUCUUUGGAUGCUGUGUCUAUCCCUCAUUUCUCAGGACAGACACUGUCCUGUCCCAGGGGAGUUUUCUUGCAUGAUCGAACAAAAGAACACUGCUUCAUUUGGAUAUUCCUAAUUUCUUAGACCAUCUCUGAAAUCCUCUGGGCCAGGCCAUGCUGGGGACAGACUUGCCUACUCCAGAGGCACAGAGGGAUAAAAGCAAAGGGUAAUCCUCACAGUGUUGGUUCUGUAUUUGCCCUAUAUCAACUUGGUUCAUAAGGCCAAAGACCAUGACUUUGACUUUUCCUUUCUUGUCCAAGAAAAUAUCAUGUAUUGUCUUCUGUGUUCUCAUUGCUGCUUCUAUUCUACCUGAGAUUGUUUGUUGACUGAAGGCAGCAGACACUCUAGCAUGUAUGCUUUUUCUAGCGUGGGUGUCAUCUGGAAUGCCUGGAGGAGAAGGCCAGUCUCAGUGGUUCUUAAUCCUCUAUGACUAGCAUUAUGGACAUAGGCAGAAACGAGGCCAGGGGGGAUGACAAGUCCAAUGUGCCAAUGGUGGGUUGAUUUCCACUCUAAAGUCCUAGUGGGAAAGCAGCAUAAUCAUAAGGGUAGGGAAUGGAGCCAGUCUGAGACUGGUUGUGAAGCCAGGCACUUGGAUAGCCUGCCCUUCCAGUAAGCAAUUGGAGGCCAUGGUCUGGUUAUACUAUCUUUGAUAUAAAGAUUCUUUAUAUCUUAGGCUUACAACUGAAUAUAUUUUAUUACUUUCCUCCCAUUCUUUGAAGCAGGAUUGCGUUAUUACAUCUGUGAUUGUCAGCUUACAUCUGGAGUUUACUGUUAGUAAUAGAAAAUUAUGAUGGUUGACCAUAAACAUUGACAAAGAAGAGUUCAAGGGCACCAAAAUUGUGAGCACCAUAGUGCCGGUUUAGCAUUUGCCCUGUUCAAUUGGGGUACUAUGGAUAAAGUUGCUGAUUGUGGCUUUUCCAUUGAAAUCCACCAUUAUAUUAUAUGGCUUCAGGUAGCUGUGAAACAUUGUGUGCCUAUGGCAGUAGAUCAUCACUGCUGUUCUUUGCAAAAUAUUUUCCUGACCUUGUCCUGUUCUAGGUAGCCAUACUUUUGGAUGAAUUUGGAAAGCUGUUGACCUUCAACAAGCUCCAUGAUGAGACAUAAUUUUGUUUUGCUCACAAUGACUUGAAGAAGUGAGAUCAUGUUGAGGUGGUCACCCAUCAUCAUCAAUGCCAUGGUCAUUACUGGCUGGCAUCAUUGCUUCUACAUUAGCAGGACUUUGAUGUCCACUAUGCAGCAACUCCACUGUGAUAGAUACUCUGCUGUCUAGGCAACUCCACUUUCUAAGGACUCCAAAUUUGAGGACAUCUACUAGCACAGGAUGUACACAUUUGCUGGACUUUCACUGUUGCAGCAACUCAACUCUUAAGGGAUGCCCACUGUUGCAGGUUUUCCAGUGUCUCAGCCCCGCCACUCUUGAAGGACCUUCACUAUUGUAGGACCUCCACUGUUGAAGCACAUCGAUUAUCUCACCAACUAGAAUUUAUAGGAUGUCAACUGGCACAGAAAGUCCACUGUUGCAUGACCACCAUUCUCACUGAAAAUCUACUGUCUCAGGACCUCUACCUUUGUAGGACCUCCAGUGUAGAAGGAUGUCCACUGUUGCAUGUCCACCGCUGUCACAGGACCUCCUCUGUCACAGGACUUCCACUCUUCCAGGCUCAUCUCCACUGUCUCAGGACUUCUACUAUAUCUCUAGGACCUCCAAUGACGCAGGACCUCAACUGACACUGGGCCUUCACUCUCCAAUCACCUUAACUAUCAAAGAACCUCCACUGUCUCAGGACCUUCACUGUUUCAGGACCUCCAAUGUUGGAGCAACUGUACUGCCUCAGGGGCAGGACCUCCAUUGUCACAGGGCCUCCACUGUCACAGGAUAUCAACUCUUUUAGACUUUUACAGGAUUUCUGCUGGCACAUGACCUCCAUUGUUGAUGGUUCUCCACAGUUUCAUUACUUUUACAUUGAAAGGAAUACCAUUCUUGCAGAACCUCCACUGUCCCAGGACCUCCAGUAUUACGGACUUCCUCAGUCCAAGUAGCUCCAUUAUUGAAGGACAUUUCUGGUUGCAGGACAUCCACUUAUACAGUGCCUCCAUUGUUAUAGGACACCCACUGUUCCAGCCUAAUCUCCACUCUCUCAUUAUCUCCAAUAUUUUAUGAUUGCCAAUAAUGGUGGACUUCCAUUGUUACAGUAAUUCCACUAUCUCUGUGCCUACAUUGUUCCAGGACCUACACUGACUCAUGAUAGGCACAGCUGCAUCAAGUUCACUUUCAAUUUUUAUUGACAUUGCUAGCUAUUAUAUUUGACCCUUACUGGAAUGUGAUGUUACUAUGUGAUGUUACUUUUGAAAGCCCAAGAAUUUGUUUUUUUUUAGCACAUGUGACUGAUUUCCACAUGUUCUAGGAAUGUUAUCCCCUGGAAGAUCACAAGAGCUCAUAUCCCUCUAUUCCUCACCUUGUGGGAGCUGUUGCCUUUCAGAGGGUAAUGCAAUUCAGGUGAAAGGAUAGGAUCAGCAAGUGAUAACUUUGUAGAGUGGGGUAUUCAUCAGUAACAUUGAGUUCCUGAUGGGAAGAGGAGAAAUCCAGAACAGGAAUAACCCUUGGCAUAGAGGAAGAAUCAAAAAGUACUUACAGAAGGUAAGAAGGUACCAAUUUUAAGGAAAUGGAAAUGAUAGAGGAAGAACCAGCACAGAGCCAACUGAGUACGACAAAGCACCAAGGUACCUGGGCUGUACCUGGUCCUUGUUCUCUGCAUGCUAUCCUUAUUCCUUCUUUUUUGGGAGAAUCUCUGUCCUGCCUCUUGUGAAGUUUCUUUCUUGAUGUAAAGCCAUGACAAAGGUUCAUCAGGGAAGUUCCCCCAUUUCUUCCUCCAUCUCUUAAAGCCUCUGCUCCGACACCAGCUGGUGAAUAUCUUGCACUCUUCUGAAGCACAGACAGAGAAUAUGUUGUUUUUUCUGUUCUCAUUGAUGCUACUCUUCUCCCUGAAGCUGCUCAUUCAGUAAAUGUGGGAGACAGUGUCUUUUGUCCAGUGUUGGUGUCAUCUGGAGUGGCCUGAAGAGAAAGAAGGCCAGUCCCACUGGGUCUUCUGCCUACUCUAUAACAAGCAUUUUGGAUAAAAACAGAAAUUAGACCAUUGGAAGAUGACGAAACUAAUGUGCUGAUGGUGGGCUGGCUUCUGCUCUUCUUUAUUCCUAGAGGGAAAGCAGCAUCAGCAUCAAUGUUAGGGAAUGGUGCCAUAACUGUUCUCACUAGGUGACACUGUGUUGUGCAGCCAUGUCCCUUGAGAGCCUGCCCUUGCAGUAAGCAAUAGGAUGCCAUGGUCUUGAUAUACUUUUUUUGGUACCUGUAGUAUCUAGGGCUUGGAACCAAAUAUAUUGUAUUGCUUCCACAAUUGCAAGUUCUGUCCUGAGUGUGAUCAGUUGCUCAUAGGGAUUUGGGAAUGCUUUUCUGUCUCUCUUGAACUAGAUUUGCAUGAUGGCGUCCAUGACUGUCAGCCUGUAUCUGGGGAUUACUCUCAUUAAGAACUUAUGCAGGUCAUCCAGCUCUUCUCAUCUCCCACAGGGGGCAGGAUUCACACAGGCUACAACCUGACUUCUCAGCCCUUGUAUGACUAGUCAAAUGAAACCUCUGACUACCAUGAAAUAUAAGACUACUCAUGUCUUCCCUGUGUCAUUCUUUGGACUAUCAUAAAAUUUGCCUAGAUAGAGCUCCAUGGCAGCAAAAGGUAAUCAUCAUAGUGCCGGUUCUCUAUUUGCCCUAUAUCAACUUGGUUCAUAAGGCCAAAGACCAUGACUUUGACUUUUCCUUUCUUGUCCAAGAAAAUAUCAUGUGUUUUGAGGUUUCUUUGAACUAUUAUGUGACUAUGGCAGUAGUUCAUGCCUGAUAGUAUUUACCUAAAUGUUUCCCUGGUUUUGUUCUCCACCAACUGGCCAGCUGUUCAGAUGUGUCUGUAAAACUGGUGACCUUCAAGUAGCGUCAUGACAAGGUAUUGUCUUGUUUCAGACUCAAUUACUUGGAGUAGUGAAAUGAUGUUGGAAUGGUCAAAAAUCAUCAGUACAUGUGCCAUCUUCAUUACUGGCUGUCACCCUUGCUUCUUCUUUACCAGCACUUUGACAGCCACUGUAGCAGGACAUCCACUGUUCCAGUAUGGUAAUGACCCAGCACCUCCACUAUCACCGUUCUUCCACUCUUGCAGGACCUCCACUCUUGCAGGACCUCCACUCUUGCAGCACCUGCAUUUAGUCAGGACCUCCACUGUACCAGUCCCAUCUCCACUUUCCCAGGACCUCUACUCAUGCUGGUCCUCCAAUGUUGCCUGACCUCCAAUGUAAAAGUACCUGCACUAUCUCAUUGCCUCCAGUAUUGCAGGACCUACAUUGUCACAGGAUCCACACUGUUCACUAACUCCACUGUCACUGUUUUGAAGGAAUUGUUGGUUAUUACUUUUGAGGCUUAAUGGGAUGUGAUGUUACUUCUGACAACUUAAGAAUUUGUUCUUCAGCUCUUGUGAUUAAUUGCCAGAUAUGUUAGGAACAGUUGCCUCUGGAAGAUUCCAUUAGCCCAUAGUAGGCCUCUAGGCCUGACCUUGUGGGAGCUGUUGUAUUUUGGGAUGCUCUAAGUACAGAUGAAGGCAUGGGGUCAGCAGGACAAGUCUGUAGAGUGUGGUACACAUCAGUCAUAUUUAAUGCCUGCUGGGAACCUGAGAAAUAUAGAACAGCAAGAGGGCUUGGCAUAGACGAAGAAUCAUAUAGUACUUACAGAAGUUAAAAAGGAAACAAUUUUGAACAAAUGGAAAUCAGAGACACAGGAGGACCCUCAUAGAGUAAAUUGGGUAGGACUUAGCACAAAGGUACCUGGGUUGUGCCUGCAACUUGUUCUCUGGAUGCUCUAACUGUGCUUCAUUUCUCAAAAGAGACAAGGUGUUCUGCCUCAGGUGAGAUUUCUUUCUUGAUGGAGAGCAGCAACACAUUUCAUCAGGACAUUUUUUUAUUUCUUGUUCCAUCCUUAAAGCCUUUUGGAUGGCCACUACUGGGGACAGUGUUGCCCUCUCCUUAGGCACAGAGGAAUAAUAGGUUGUCUUCUGUGUUCUCAUUGCUGCUUCUUUUCACCCUAAGGCUGCUUGUUGACUGAAGGCAGAAGACACCCUGGCAUAUAUGUUUUGUCCAGUGCAGGUGUCCUCUGGAGUGGCCUGAAGAGAAGGCCAGUCUCAGUGGUUCUUCUGAAUCCUCUAUGACUAGUAUUAUGGACAUAGGCAUAAACAAGGUUAUGGGAGAUGACAAGUCCAACGUGCCAAUGGUGGGUUGGUUUCCACUUCUCUGCAGUCCAGGCCUAGUGCGGAAGUAGCAUACUCAUCAAGGGUAGGGAAUGGAGCCAUAACUGGAGUAACUGUCUGAGGCUGGUUGUGAAGCCAGGCACCUGGAUAGCCUGUCCUUACAGUAAUCAGUUGAAUGCCAUGAUCUGCUUAGACUUUCUUUGAUAUAAAGGAACAUUAUGUCUUGUGUUUUGAAUGGAACAUAUUGCAUUGCGUCCAAAAUUCCAGGGUGUGCCUUGAGAGGUAUCAUUUCCUCAUAGGGAUUUGGGAAAUGCUCCCAUUCUUCUUUGAAGCAGGGGUGCAUUAUCAUGUCUAUGAUGGACAUAUCUGGGUUUGACUGUCAUUAAGUUGCUAAGCAGGUCAUCUAGCUCUCUUGACACCCAACAGUGGUCAAGAUACACACCUGCCACAUGUCUUCUCAACUCGUGUAUGAAAAUAGAGGCAACAUUUCCAACUACCUUAAAAUGUAAGACUCUAGCAUUCAUAUGUGGUUCUUUGAACCAUCAUAAAUUUAUCCUAGGAAGAGUUCAUGGGCAUCAAAAGUGUUAGCACCAUUGUACAGGUUCAGCAUUUGCUCUGAUUGUCUUGGGUACUAAGGUCAAAGUCAAUGAUUUUGGCUUUUGGUUUCUUAUCCAACAUAUUAUUUGUUUGUCCUGUGAUUAUUCUGUGCCCCUGAGAGUAGAUCCAGGCUGUUAAUAUUUGCAUAAACUUUGCCAGGCCUUGUCCUUCACUAUGUAGCUAUACUUUGAGAUACAUUUGUAAAGAUGUUGAACCUCACCCAGCUCCAUGACAAGGUAUCCACUUGUUUUGGUCUCAAUUACUUCUGGAUGAUGUUGGGGUAGAUAAACACAAUUGUUGUCAUUGCCAUGGUCAUUACUGGAUGGCAUAAGUGCUUCUUCCUCACAAGGACUUGGAGGCCACUGUAUCAGAACAUCCACUGUCUUAGUACCUGCUUUUUCCCAACACAUCCACUGUACUGUCUGUCCAAGCCUAUGUUUUGUUGCCUUGCCCCUGAACUUCCUGCCAUUGCAGAAGGAAGUAGGAUGACAUGGUCUGGUUAAUAUAUUAUCUGGUUGAAGUGUCCUUAGUUUCUAGGGCUUAGAACCCAAUGUAUUCCAUUGCUUUUUCACAUUAGCAGGGUCUGGCCUGAGGGGGAUCAGUUGCUCAUAGGGAUUUGGGAACUGCUUCUAGUCUUAGUUGAACUAGGGUUGCAUCAUGACCACAAUGACUGUUGGCCUAUAUUUAUGGUUGACUAUCUUUAAGAGGCUAAGUAGGUCCUCCAGCUCUUCUGACACCCCACCAGAGGCAGCAUAUACCUCUAUUACAGCCUGUCUUCUCAGCUCCAAAAUUAAGAGAGAAUCAAAUGGAAACUUUCUGACUGCCAAAAAUUAUAAAAUUCCACCCAAGGUCCAUAUUUUGUUUUUUGGAACAUAAUAAAAUUUUUCAAAUAAGAGUUCAGGGACACCAAAAGUAUAAGUAUCGCAGUGCUGGUUCAGCAUUUCCCCUGGGUAGAAUGAGGUACUAGGCCAAAGUUCAUAAUCUUGACUUUUCAAUUGAUAUACAAACCAGCACUCUUUGGCUUCACGUCCCUGUGAAGUAUUGUUUGCCCGUAGAAGUGGCUCAUCACAGCUAUUAUUUGCACAAUAUUUCCCUAGCCUUGACUUGCUCUAGUUAGGCAUAUUUUGGCACACAGUAAGCAAGAUGAUCUCCUGGUUUGAUUAUGCAUUGUAAUAUCUUAGACUCAGAAUCCAUUAUGGUGCAGUUCUUCCACAAAUGCAGGGUCUAGCCUGACAGAGCUCAGUCCUUCAUAGAGAUUUGGGAAAGACUUUCAGUCUUCCUUUAACCAGGGGUACAUCAUCCCAUCUGUGACUGUCAACCUAUAUUUCAUGUUGACUAUCAUUAGGAGGCUAAGAGGUCCUCCAUCUCUUCUGACACCCCGCAGGGGUUAGGAUACAUACAUGCCACAAUGGUCUUCUCAAUUGUAGUAUGAAUACAGAGUAAGAUCUGACUUUUUUAACUACCAUGAAAUGUAAAACUCAGGUCCAUUUGUCAUUCUGUGGACUAUCAUAAAGUUGCUGAGGAAGAGUUCAGGAGCUCCAAAAGAGAAAGCACCACAGUGCCACUUCAGCAUUGCCCUGGUUCAACUAGGGUUCUAAGGCAAAAGUCUAUGAUUUUGACUUCUCCAUUUAUGUCCAAUGGUAAACUUAUCAGGUUUCUCUUCCCUGUGCACUAUACCCUGGUCAUUUCAUUAGCUCACAGUUAUGAUUAUUUGCCUAAAUAUUUCCCUGCCUUUGUCCUCCCCUAGGUGGCCCCAUUUUCAGGUGCUUUGGUAAAGCUGUUGUCCUUCAACAAGUUCUUACUUGCAGAAGUGAGAUGCUGUUCAGGUGGUCGACCAUCAUUGUCUCUGCCUUGGUCAUGAGUGUCAGGCACCAUUGCUUCUUUAGAAGCGGUUCGAUGGCUCUGGGGCUGCCACUGAGUCGAAGGCGUUGCUCCUGUGUCCCAUGGUCCUUAAGACUUUGUAUUGAGAGUGGAAUUUUCCCUCAUCAGAAAUUUUGCUGAGGGCUAGGGUGUGGGGUCUGCUCUUUACUAUGUGUAAGCAUUGUAGCUAAAGAUACUACAAAUAUUACCUAGAAAUAACUUAAAAGUAUAGAAUAAAAAUAAUGGAAACGAUGUAGGGAAACUGAAGCUAAAAUCACAGCAUGUGUUAACUAAAAAUGACCAAAAUGUCUUUGGGAUUGCAGUUUAUUCUUUUAUUUGUUUCUGUUUUACUUUUUGUUUUUGUUUGUUUCUUUGUUUUUUGGCUCUCUCAAGAGGGCAACCCUGUAGUGCAAUAGAUCACAGAUUCAGAUGAUGUCAGGUGGAAUAGUCAUUGGCCACAUAAAGGCUAACGCCUGUGUUUGGGCAAUGGAAGGAAAGACACAGCAGAACUUUUUGGGGAAUGGAGAGAAAGAAGAAUAGAGGCGGAAGAUUCGGGCAAGAAGAAGAUGGGGGAGAAAGAGGUUGAAAAUGGAGCAGGAGCCACAAGUAGGUAGAGAUUUUAUAAAUGGGCAAUAGAGUAGUGUAGUGGUACAUUUGUCUAAUCUAAGCACUCAGCUUAUAAUUAUAUAAUUGAGUUUUCUGUUCUUGCAUGGGCCUUUUGGCGUUGGAGAUUUACCCCUAUAAAUCUGGCUAGUAUAAGCCUCUUGGGUUUUCAUUACAAAAGACUAAGACAAAUCCUGUGAGAGGAGCAUUGGCCAGCCUUCUGCAGGUCAGGGAGAUGGGGUGGAUGAGAUAAGAAACGCAAGCAGCAGUCCAGGCAUUUCAGAUUAAAGUUGUUUGGUUAGAGUAGCAAACUAGGAGCAGGAACCAGGCAAGAUGGCAGCAUAGAGCUGGCCAUGUGGGUUGAGCGUUACCACUGAUACCAGAGCAUAGCAGGAAUUUGCAUUCCUGUGUUCUCAUUGCUGUUGUGUUCUCUCUGAGGAUGAUUAUUGAGUGAAUUCAGGCGACACUGCUGGCGUGGAUGUAUGUUUGUCCAGUGUGGGUGUAAUCUGGUGUGGCCUGAAGAAACAAAGGGCAGCCCCAGUGACUCUUCUGCCUACUUUUUGACCGGAUUGUGGUCAAAGGAAGUCACUAGACCAUUGGAUGAUGAUGAGGCCUGUGCAUAUAGGGCGGGGUAGCUACCACUCCUCUACAGCCCAACAGGAAUGCAUCAUCAUCAUCAAGGGGAGGGAAUAACUGGACUCAAUGUGUGAGCCUCCAUUGUUCAGCCUUGCACCUGGAGAACUUGCCUGUACAGUAAGCCACAUGAUCCCACGGUUUGAUUAUAUGUUGUGAUAUCUUAGGCUCUGUACCCAGUAUGUUCUAUUUCUUCCACAAUUGCAGGGUCUACCUGACAGAGCUCAGUCCUUUGUAGGGAUUUGGGAAAGCCUUUCAAUCUUCCUUUAACCAGGGGUACAUCAUCACAUCUGUGACUGUCAACCUAUAUUUCGUGUUGACUAUCAUUAAGAGGCCAAGAGGUCCUACAUUUAUCUCUUCUGACACCCCACAGAGGUUAGGAUACAUACUUGCCACAACCGGUCUUCAAAACUGUAGUAUGAAGACAGAGUAAAAUCUGACUUUUUUAUCUACCAUUAAAUGUAAAACUAUGGUCCAUAUGUCAUUCUGUGGACUAUCAUAAAGUUUUCUGAGGAAGAGUUCAGGAGCUCCAAAAGAGAAAGCACCACAGUGCCAGUUCAGCAUUGCCCUGGUUCCACUUGAGUUCUAAGGCAAAAGUCGAUGAUUUUGACUUUUCCAUUUAUGUCCAACAUAAUCUUAUCUGGUUUCAGUUCACUGUGUACUAUACCGUGCUCAUGGCAUUAGCUCACAGUUGCUAUUAUUUGCCUAAAUAUUUCCUGCCUUUGUCCUCCUCUAGGUGGCCCCAUUUUCAGGUGUUUUGGUAAAGCUGUUGUCCUUCAACAAGCUCUUACUUGGGGAAGUGAGAUGCUGUUCAGGUUGUCGACCAUCAUCAUUGUUUCUGCCUUGGCCAUGUGUGGCCUACACCAAUGCUUCUUUACAAGCAGUUUGAUGGCCAUGGGACUGCUAGGGAGGCGAUGAUGUGAUAUCGGGACCUUGGCAUUGCUCCUUAAGUCCUUAAGACUUUGUACUGAGUGUGGAAGUUUCCCUCUGCUGGGGCCUAGGGUGUGGGAAAUCCUCCUUGCUAUGUGUAAGCAUUGUAGCUAAAAAUACUACAAAUAAUACCUAGAAAUAACUUUAAAAGUGUAGAAUAAAAAUAAUGAAAAAGAUGUUUGGAAACCGAAGCUAUUGUCACUUCAUGUGUUAACUAAAAUGAGCAAAAUGUCUUGUGGAUUACUGUUUGAAUUUUUUCCUCUCAAGAGGGCGGCCCUGUAGUGCAAUAGAUCACAUAUUCAGAUGAUGUCAAGUGAAAUAGUAAUUAGCCAUAUAAAGGCUACAGCCUGUCAUUGGGCAAUGGAAGGAAAAGAUAGAGCAGAAUGUUUUGGCAAAGGGAGAGAAAGAAUAGAGACGGAUGAUGCGGGCAAGAAGAAGAAGAUGGGGGAGAAGAGGUGGGAAAUGGAGCAGGCCCAUGGGCUUGCAAGAGCCACAAGUAGCUAGAGAUUUCAUAAAUGGGCAAUAGAGUAGUGUAGUGGUAGAUUUGUCUAAUCUAAGCACUCAGCUUGUACUUAUAUUAUUGAGUUUUCUGUUCUUUGACUGGGACUUUUGGAGUUUGAGAUUUACCACUAUAAAUCUGGCUAGUAUUAGCUUCUGGGUUUUCCUUUCAAAAGACUAAGGCAAGUCCUGUGAAAGGAGCAUUAUCCAACCUUCUGCAGGUCAGCCAGAGGUGGUGGAUGGGAUGAGAAAUGCAAGCAGUAGUCCAGGCAUUUCAGAUUAAAUUUGUUUGUUUAGAGUAGCAAACUACCAGCAGGAACCAGGACAAGAUGGCUGCAUAGAGCUAGCCAUGUGGGUUCAGCAUAACCACUGAUACCAGAGCAUAGCAGGAAUUUGCAUGGGUUUAAUUUAAAACUUCAUGCAAUAGAUGAUGUUGCGUGUGGUAGUCAACAAUCCACUAGGGAGUUAGGAUUCUUGUCCUAGGGAUGAGAGAAUUAGAUUCCUGAAUGAGCAGAGAUGAGUCAAGUGACUCCAGCACAUGGGAAUCUUAAUCAAACACAGUGAUAGACAGACCCAAAUCAGGCUCUGAGUUCUCCUCUUGUAAAAAGAAUCAGUAUAAUAAAUGGAUCCAGGCAGAGAGGGAGACUGAAGACUGCCUGCUUUUAAUGAAGUUUGGUUUAGUUGUUGCUAAUUUGGUGUAAUUUUGUUUAAAGAUAGAAGAGGACACAAUUUUGGCCAGAGUCACCUGGGGAAUUCCUCCUGAGGUUCAGAGCUAACUCAGGGCAAAUGGGCCCAGAUUAUCUGGGAGCUCGUGCUGUGCAGGGACAAACUGAGCUAACAGAAAAACUACAGCCUCCAAGGCAGACAGCAGAAUUUGGAUAAGGAUGAAAUCCUCUAGGAAAGUCUCAGUGUAUCACAGGAUUCUCCUAUUCUCUCAAAAGAGGGUUAAAUAUCCUGUCUUGGCAGAUUAGAAAAGGCCCGAAAAAACUGUUUCUACUUUGCUUGUUUGGUUUAGUUCCCUCGUAUGAGUAUUUAAUUUUCGAAAUGUAUGUGAUUUUGAAUUUUCUGUUUUUUUUACUAUUCCUCUGGGAAAGAUGUCAACCUAAAAAUCUUUCUGGUUACUGGCUAAAGCGCAUGCUAAUUUGGGAGAAAGACCUUAUGUUUCUGCUUAUAGGAAAAGUAAUUAGGCACUGGACUCCUUCCAGGGUUCUCUGGGUCAGAAAGGGCAGAGGGAACCACCCUGAAGAACUAGAAAGUUCAAGAGAACCAAGCAAGAAAGGUAAAGAUUCCUUAUGCCAUUGUUCACAAUGCAUGAACGAAGACUUAUGAUUAGUUAUUAUUAAAUUUGGCUCAUAAAAAGACUAUCUUUUCACAUGCUUAAACAAAGACCAGAAUUUCAUCUUGAGUAGUCAAGGUAUUUUAUGUUAAACUGGUUCCCAAUUGGCUUAGCAAUCAAGCCUCAGGAUACAGGGUAACAAGUGCAUAGAAGUAGCCAUAAGGACUGGGUGAAACUCUGAUGCCUGUGUUUAGCCAGACUUAGUGUGGGGUUAUUUUAAAAUUACAUGUAACAAAAAGUGCUUGAAAUAAACUAAAGUCAAAGUUAGGAAAAUAGAAUACAAAUUAUGGAAAAGAUAUCAGGGAAAAAGCUAAAGUCAAAAAUCCCAACUAAAAUUCAAACAAAUAACCCACCUUGUAUUCUGUUCAGAAAAGUCACGAAGCUCUCUAGAAGGAGACAAGACAGGAUGCAGCUGUUGGGCUAUCUCAGGCAAACUCUGCACCAGAGCACCUGUUCAAAGAGAUUAGAACAUCAUUACUGUAUCAUGGAUGUUUACUGGGAGAAUGGAAUGAUUUAACAGCUGAGUUGUGGAAUUCUAUAGAUCUAUAAAAUAACCUCUGCAGUGGAUAAUAUAAAGUUAUGAAAUAUCUUCCAGCUUCAUUAAUCAGAACUAUAAAAUUUCAAUCUAGCCCAUGGAUGCUGAUGGUAACUGUCGCUUCUGUUUCCGACCCGCAGAAAAGAGCGACUACACAGCGUUCUUCUCAAAGCGGUUUAUUCAGGAACCUUACAACAUGCAAACAGGAAUCUUCUUUUCUUCUGUCUCCCUCCCAGCCCAGCCCCCGGAGCACACUCCCUUAUAUCCUCCCUCAGCUCUGCUUCCUCAGUCCAGACUGCGUAAUCUCAGUUCAUAGGUCCACGUCACAUGGCCUGAUCCUGCAUCAUGGUGCGCCUGCACAGCUCUCACAAUGGACGUGGCUAGUUUCAGGUGUGUGAGGAAGUCAGAUGCUAGUCACGAGACUUAGCUGCAGUCCCAGGCGCCAUCUUGGGACUACCGCCACACCCGCUCCCCACAGCCUACUUGGGAUGACUGCCAACAGCUCUUACAGGCCCUCUUAACCUCAGAAAAAAAAACAAGGAGUGUUCCUAGAGGCCAGAAAGCAUGUUCUGGGAGAUGAUGGGCGUCCCACCCAGCUGCCUGAGGACCAAACUGGGAUUUUAAUACAGCUGAAGGGGAGAAAAUGGACCAUUCUCAUCAAUGAAAAAGGUUGGACAACUAGGUGCCCAUGACCAACUCCUCAUUGUGGAUGGAUUUAGUCUGGUUGGACUUUCUCAGGAAAGGGCAGCAGAACUCAUGACUAGUACCAGUCCCAUGGUUACCCUGGAAGUUGCAAAUCAAGGCAUCCUCUCUCACUGCCUGUCCACCUUUCUUACCCAGCCAUUGUCCUCCAUGGUGCAGAGAGUUAAGAGCUAGUGACUCAAGCCAGGCUGGUCAAAGAAUGUAUAUAAAAGAUCACCCUAUUAUACAAGAGCAGUUAUUAAAUAUAAGAAUUUUAGAUGCAUCCUUUGAAGCUCUUCAUCUUGGAAAGAACGAGGGAGAGAGAAUGAAUGAAUUGGCUUUGGUUUCAGUUUCAGAUCGUUAUGGCUCAGAACUUCAGGAAGAGUUUUACCAACUUGAGCUGCAUUGAGUAGUGGCCAGCAUGGAUCUCUAGUGUGACAAUGAUAUGUGGAUCCAGAGCUCCUCAGUGGACUCUAUGACAUCCAGCCAGGAGCACCUGAAAUAUUCCUCCAAGUCAGUUACCCCUGCUUCCAGUCUACCAAGAGUGGUCCUGGCCAUUGGAAAACCCCAGCAGAGGUGCUGCCCACCCCUGUGACUGUCUCCCAGCCCAUAUGAACAGACCUCCCUCCACCACCUCCUCCACCACAGGUCCACCUACACCAGUGGUUUUGAUGGCAUUUCAGUGGCUUUGCCCCUCCCACCACCUUCUGCAAACAAGGCAGGAUGCCAGUCUGCUCAGGUGGCUGCUGGCUAGCAAAAAAGAAGGAGGAGCAGCAGUGGUGGUCUGAGAUAUAGAAGGCCUGCCUGGAUAAGGAAGCAGAGAGGAAGCACGGGGAGCAGGAGUAGAAUCUGGGGCAGAUGGACUCUCAUUCCCUGAUUCCUGCUUCCUUAUCUCUUUUGGCCACACCAGCCCAACCAGGAAAACCUUCCACACUGCAGAGGCCCCAAGAAACAGUUACUCUGAAGCUGUAGUCCCCAGCAGCAGCCCCAACUAUUGAGUACAGGAACCUGCAGUAGAAAACAAUCAGUAAAGAGGAGUUGUCCUGUGGGGAUAGUCUGUCUCCAGACCCAUGGAAACAAGAUACCAGGGAGAAGCUGGAGAAGCAACAGCAAAUGCACCUUGUGGACAUGCUAAGCAAGGAGAUCCAUGAGCUGUAAACUAAGGGGGACGGUAGUGCAGAGGAGAGUGACUGCCUGUGGAAGCUUAUGCUGGAGUGGCUGUUUUGGAAGAGACUUCAGGCUAUAUUUCUUGUGUUUCUCCCAGGUUCAUUUCUUGAACCUGUUCUUGAAAACUGUUCAAGCAGCCCAACAUUUGACAUUUUCAAAGUAGAAAUUCAUAACAACUAUGUUUUUGACAUUCUGGCCUUAGAUAAUUCUACAGUGAUGUCUAUGGUUAAGUGCCAGGCAGUGAGAACCCAGGAGUGACGUUCAGAGGUACACAGGAUGACCUGCAGGUGAGGUGCUCCUGGAGCCCAGUGUCCUGAGUGCAGGUCCUCAACCUUACAGCUGCCCACUCCAGCUGUGUCUGGGAUGGAGCCAGUGCUACCAACCUAGGAAGCAGCUCAGGGACUGUGCUUAGUAUGUUCCCCAUUGGUUCAGUUCAUGACAAGGUUAAUCUGAAGUAACAGCAGGAAUUUUAGCCCGCUGGAAUUCUGUAUCUGAGAAAGUACAUGUCUUUAGGAACAUCAAGAUGCUCACGUCUAACACGUUUCAGCUUUAUAUGUCACAGAUACCAUAAUAAAGCUGUUUAUAACCUUU